rnacentral:lncRNA from 1 species
ACUGGACAACAAAUUUUUGAAGGGAAGCCUCCCAGCUAAUAUAGCAUGUUUUGUUUCCAAACAGUAGGAUUCUUGUGAAGAUUAUCUAUAAGGAGAUUAAAGGCUUUUGGCUUUGAGCUUUACAUAUAUGGAUUCCCCUAAAUGAUGCUUACAUUAGCUGGGACGGUACAGGGUGUGCACCUGAUAAUCAUUUUCCUAGAGGUUGCUUAUGCAACUACAAAGGGAUAGUUGAUUGGGUUUUGGGUGCAUUGAGAGAUUGCUCCACUCAUCCUUCAUACUCGAGAGCCUCCUUAAGUUUCAAAAAGUCCUGUAGAAGAGCUCUGAAGAAAAUUGUAAGAUCGUUAGCAGUAGCUACCAAAAGACUGCCUUCUAAGCACUAGUAGAUUCUGCCUCCAUAAGCGUGCCCUAUCCCUCUGAUGUUUGCAUAUUUGACUUUUGAAAGAAAAAAGGGAAGAAAGCUUUUAUUUUAAGUACUCUUCAAUUACCUUCUUAACCAAAAGCAUAAUAGUAGUGCAGACUGAAGGAGAAGAAAUCUGAAUAUAAUCAAUCAAUCAAUAUUUUCUACUUAUUUAUGAAAGAAACUUACCUUCUUAACCAAAAGCAUAAUAGUAGUGCAGACUGAAGGAGAAGAAAUCUGAAUAUAAUCAAUCAAUCAAUAUUUUCUACUUAUUUAUGAAUGAAAUAUUCUAGUGUCUAAAAACGAACACAAAAACUUGGAUAACAAUAAACUGCAAUAGGGUUUGCAGUAAGGAAAACCCUACUCUGACCCCAUUUUGAGGGAAGUAGAAGAGGAGUCAGAUGAUGGAUAAAUAUCAAGGGCUUCAUAGGGAUAUACAAGUGGAGGGUCAAUAAAACCAAAAGAUGGAGGAGGUUGCUGCAGGUCAAUUAAGAGUUGUUUUCAGCUGUUUUCUUUAAUGAGCUUAGUGGCAAUUUUUCUAAAAUCUCAAGUAUGUUUUAUGAACUGCAUGAGGUUUCUGUCUGACGUCUAUAAAUAGUUGUUUCCAUCUGAAAUCUACGAGAACUUGGCUAGAGUUUAAGUUUUCUCAUUGUUUGGUCUUUUCUGAAUUCACGUGACUUCAGAAACUUGUCUUGCUUUGAAGCAUUUUAAAGUUUUUGUCCAGCCUCUUUUAAUUGCUUUGACAUCAGUACAUGAUUUGGUUAAUUCUAUUUGAGCCUAUUCUCUUGAUGGAAAUGUGCAACAAUAGAAUAGCAAGCAUAAUUUAUUUAGCAAUAUGAGACUUUAAUAUGUAUAUCAUUUUCGUAUAGAUAAGUGUAAAUUAUGUAUAUUUUAAGUAGGUCUAGAAAAUCUCAUUUGCUAAUGUAUUUGGGUGAUUACUAUGCUGUUUGUAUUUUCCACAAAACUAAAACAAACAAUUUCAGGGACCUUUUUGGCUUUUACCUUUUCUCUGUACUGUGGUGCUCAUGCCUUUAUCUAUACUCUUCAUUUUGUGAAUUUUUGUACCAUCUUUUUAAAAUUAAAAGAUAUUAGGAGAACAAAACCAGAUACGAUCUGGAAAACACCAUGAAAUUCUUGUGCGCAUAUACACAUAAGGAGAAAAAAUGAAAGUUUAGAUGCUCAUGGGAUGUAGAAGGAUAUAUUAAAUGUCAAAUAUGUAUUAAGGCCCUGCUCUGGAUGCUGAUGCACAUUCAUGAAUUUUAAGUUCCCUAGUUGUUUGUGGAUUGAGGAGGUGGCCUGUUUGUUUGAAGCAACAACCUUCUUCUUGUUGUUGUUGUAUUUGUAUUCUUUGUUGUCUGUAGUUGUUCUUCAUGUUCUUAGUUUAAACACCAGGCUGUGGUGUCUAUUUCCUAAAUCACCUUUCAAAGAAAAUUUGAUUCAGAUCAAUACUUAUCCUGUGUACUUUGUUGGUUUUCCUCGCAUGGAAUUUGUAUUGAGGUAAGGCAUAAAGAAAAAUGAUGCCUGUGAUCUGCAAAACAAUGGCAGUUGAAAAAAGAAACCGUGAACUCCCUAAACUGUGUACAAGAACCUUGCUGGUUUCUGUUGCAGAUAUGUCGUACAAUGGAAGCUUUUUUGCCAUGCUUACAUGCUGUAACAUUCCCCUAACUUAUGCCAUCUAUGCCUGGGUGUCUGGCCAUGUGAAAUAAAGGAAAAUGAUGCCCAAAUUGAUAUGAAAUAGAUAAAACACGGUUUAUAGAAAAAUGAUACCUGGAAGAAUCUGGAAAUUAGUGGCAGCAGGAAAAAAUUGAGAAAUCCCCAAAAUAUGUAAGCAUACGUUGCUAGCUUCUGAUGCAGAUGUGUUGUGCAGUAGUAGCUUUCUUUGACAUGCUUUCAUAUCCCUACCUUUUAACCAAGGUUCUUGUAACUGAUACUUGGACCGAUAGGCAUGGUAUGAUGUGGGUCUGCACUGUGCUGCAGACAUUUUGGCCUCUUUUUUUUUUUCUCCGUUUCAGAUUUUAAUAAAGCUGGCAAAGGAUGUGCUGACUUUAAUUUAAAAUUAGAAAAUAAAAACCACUCUCCUGUUCUGAAACAAAGAGUUGUUGGUGGGGGGGGGUUGGGAAGAGGGGGGGACAAGGAGAGGAAGAGAGAGAGAGGAGGGGUAGGGAGGGGAGGGGGAGAGAGAGAGAGAGAGAAGGAGAGCGUNUAGAACGCCNNNNNNNNNNNNNNNNNNNNCCUUUGAUGCCUCUCGCCAUCGAGGUCCAAGCAUGGGGGGGAGGUGUGGAAUCGAUCGAAACAACAGGAUUUUUUCUUUUUUUCUUUUUUUGUUUUUUUGUGGGGGUGGGGCGGGGGGGGAGCAGUUAUAUUGAACCGAAUUUAUGGUUUGAACCGUGUCGGUAGUUGACUGGGCCAGUUCGGCAUGGUUUGGCCUUCUCUGCUUUUAACAGCAGUAGCUUUCUUUGACAUGCUUGCACAUCCCUUCCUUUUAACCGCCACUCCAAAUCUGGGUGUUCUAGCUGUAUGGAAGUCUUGCAUAUCAUUCAUGAUUAGAGACCAAGGAUUCAUGGCCCAGUGUCGUACCAUUCUAUCAAGAUAAUGGUACCUGGAAUGUCCCUAGGACACUAAUUACCAGGAUGACUGUAGUGUCCUAGGUGGUACUAGGAAGGAUGGACCAUGAUGGAUUGGGGCAGUUGCAUCCCAACACUUGGGACAGCCUAUCAUUCCAGGUUACAAUUUAUUUCUUCUUCAUUCGUGUUGCAAAUGGUUGCAUCUGUUUGUGCCAACCUGUCCUAGAACCAUACAGGCCUUGGACUAGAUGGGGCUGCCUACCAGUACUGAGGCUAAUCCUUGCUUGAGACAUAUGCCAUGUAUUCUUGCAGGUACUCUAGAUACUUUUUUGUGAAUAUCCAUCAAUUUUCACCCUAUUUGGUGUUCAGGAUUGUUGAGGAGAGCACCUAAUGUAGGUGUUGGUCCAUUUGAUGAUUAGGAGGCCGAGUGGAUUCUAUUGUGUUUGUCAUUCAAAGUUUCUAUCCCAACCCAUCCUGAUAUUCUCCUCUCCUUUUUUUUUGUUUAUAUUUAAAGCAUUGGAAGGUCCAGGCUUUAUGAAUGAAGAUAACAAGAUUCAUUCAUUGCUUAUUAUAGAAGCUUGUUUUGGAGGUUAAUCUACCAAAAUUAUCAUGUUAUUGUGCAGAGAUGCUUAUCAAAGCUAAAUCUUAGUGCUUUUUUUGAGUAGGCAAAACACUUUUUACAUUUUCGACACACAGUAAAAGAGAAAUAUUAGAAUUAGGAUAAACCCAAAACAAGAGCCAGACCAGUGCAUGAUCAAUCUAGGGGAAACAGCAGAGAUCAAAGUGACAAGCUAAAUGCUGACUUAAACUAACUUUAAGAAAUGAUACUUUUCUGACAUUGUGUGCUACUGGUGUAGUGCUGAAGCAUAAGCUACUGUUUCUGCUCUUGUUUUUGAAGUGGCGUGUUUUACAAAUCUGGCCAGCUGUCUGCAGCAUGAGAGAUCACUAUUGGAUGGUUGAAUAUUCAACAUUGAACUUUUGAUAGUAUGAUCAUUCUGCUCAAUGUUUUUUAAUUGGUGCAUUUUACAAAGUUUGCCAGCUAAAUUUGCGGCAUACAAGAUCAUUUUGGAUGAGUGAGUUCUGGAAUUUGAUUUUUCAGUAGUAUGAUCUCUACUCACGAGUGCAGACAUCGAAGUAACAGGUUAAUUAUGAGAAACUGCAAUUAGUGACAUUUUGUUUGGUGCAAGCCAACCAUUAUGGUUUUUCUUAGUAUGGGCGGCUGCCUGAAGUUUUCCCUUAAUACUAAAAGUAGCAUGUAGAAGAACAGCAAUUUAAUCGUAUUUUCCUUUUGCUUCAUUUAGUUAUGGGACAAUUCUCUUUCAGUUAUUGAUAUAUUUUAUAUGCAUGUAUAUAUGGGUGACCUGUGUUUCACAUCUUGUUUUGUUUGGUUGAUAAACUCUAAAUGCUCUAGAUGUUUGAAUAUUUUACUGUUUAUGCUUGAAUAUUUAGUUGCAAAUAAGCAAAAUAGAAUUAAUUGCUGGAUUGCUGCAUUUUGGUGCACUUAAUAGUAUAAAGCUAAUAUGCUUCCUUUUUCAUUUAUUUGAGGUUUAUUUUUUGCAUUUCUAGAAAUUGUGAUAAUGAAAAUGAUGGUUUGUUGCAGAAUAUACCUGUUUUUUUUAACCUUUGGAAUCUCUUAAUUUUUCAUGAUUUUAAAACAUUUUUAAAGAAAAUAUAAUUAACAUGAAAUAGUUGUAUCUAGAAAUUCAUGUAGGCACACAUUCUUAUGUUCGUUCUUAUAUUUAUCAAUAAAAAACUAGAAUAUGGCGUCAAACUGUCAGAAGUCAAAUGUCAUUGUGUUUAAUUUAUGUGCUUGCAAUUUUUUUUUUUUAAAUUUAAGCCUUUUGGAAGUUUUGUGCUUUCUCUACUUGUUCUUAUAUAUGAACAACUCCUGUCUUCUUGUACUGCUAUAUGCUGAUUUAAACUUUUCCUUCUGUAAUGUUGCUAGACAAGAAACUGUAAAAGCCUGAUUUCACAUAUUGUCUCCUUGAGUAACCCUGUUAUUUUUUAAGGGUUUAGAUAGAUUUUUUUGUGUUCUGAACAAUGGCAACUCCUAAGGGAGGAUAAUACCAUGCUUGUUUCUUGAUACCAUGCUAUAUAAUUAGAUUAUCCUGGAAGGUCAUGUUAUAGGUUCUUCAAGUUUAUCUGUUCUUUGAUGGGCAUGUUGAAUAUGAUUACAUAGUAAUUGCUAAUAUGUUCGUCAAUCACUGUGCUACCAGGCCAAUACCCUGAGAAAAUGGAAAGAUAUAUUCAUCCCACAUGGACUUGAGAAAUUUUGUAGGUAUCGUGAACAACAAUGGUGCAGAAGAGGCUGCUGAAAAUCCGCAUGGUGCAGCGUGUCUUCCAACCGAAGGCUCCGAAUGGGUUGAGCUGUUUGUGAGAGAAAUGAUGAAUGCCGCUGACAUGGAUGAUGCAAGGACUCGUGCCUCCAGAGUGCUGGAGGUUCUGGAGAAGUCCAUUGUCACUUGUGCUAAUGCUGAAGCAAUGCAAAACUUUCACAAGGUAUCUUAUGCUUCUUUAUAGCAAGUAUGACAUUGUCGUUGUAAACAGAAAUGGAGGCACGACAUUUAGGUUGCGUUUGGUAGCUGGCAAUCUAUCCAGAUUGCUGACGAUUUAAAGGAGCCCCAUUAGAUUAUCACGUUUGGUAUGUUUUUUGGAUUGGUAAUCCAGAUUAUUAGGUAAUCUCGAUUAUCUCUUAUGAGGUAAUCUGGAUUACCAAGGGGAGGGGUGGUUAUCCAGGUUACCAUUACUUUGAUAAUCUUGCAAUAAAAUUUUUGGAUGAAACCGCCCUCCUCCCCUCCCCCCUCCUGGUGCGGCGCCACCCAUCGCUCGCCUAUGCCUCCCCUUCCCGUGCGGCGCCACCCAUCGCUCGCCUAUGCCUCCGACGGCAAGGCCGCCUCCUACGCCGCCAUCACGGCUCUCGCCGUUAUCCUUUCCGCCGCCACCACCUAUCCCAUUGUCUUCUUCCUCACGAUGGGCAGCGGAAAGAGGGGGGGCCAAAACUGGCGCCUUUCUCUACAAAAUCCAGUCGACGGCCGUUAGAAACCAGUCGAUCGGUGGGCUGUCGUCGUCUCCUUGACGGCAGCCGCCGGCAAUCAAGGGGAAACUGUCGGUCUAUUGAGAUCUGGCGGUCUCAAGAGGAUGAUCGUGCAUGAAAAGAGGAGACAGUCGGUCGGUCAUCUUUUUCCUCACCUCGCCGCCUUCUUCCACCGACACAGCCUUCGGUGGGGUGGGUGAGGGCGGUAGCACGGGUGGGUGAGGGCAGCGAUGGAGGCAGCCGUGGGGGGCGUGGGGUGCGGGUUCGCUGGAGGCCCAGGGGGCAGUGUUGGAGGGUGGGAGGAGGCACGGAUGCUCGGGGGGCGGUGCCGGAGGUGCGAUGGCUGGGGGGUGGUGCCGGAGGUGCGACAACGCGGAGGGGGGGGCGGAGGGGGCGGCGGGGGGUGUGGCAUGCGAGGGAAGGAAAAGGAAGGGAAAAAAAUAAAAAUAAUAAAAAUAAUAAUAAUAAGUAUUAAAAAAUAAUAAAAAAAUUAAAUAAUUUGAUUAUUUAAUUAAAAAAUAUUUUUUUCAUAUAAUAAUUUUAUUAUUAAAAAAUUAAAUAAAUAUUUUAAAAUGCUAAAUUAAUAAUAAGGGUAUUUUGAAAAUUUGAUGUUAUAUUAUCGAUAAUCUGAUUGUCAUAUCAAAUAUAUCAGUUAAGAUUUUCAAUAAUUUUACUGCAACAUUAUCUGCAUGUACCAAACACAGUAAUCAACAUUACUGGCAAUCUAUCUAGAUUGCAGAUAAUCUCGAUUACCAGGUAAUCCAGAUUAUCACUGCCUGGCAAUGCAUCAAACGCAACCUUAUGAUUUUUGCUAUAGUCAAUAUAUUUCUUUUUUUGGAUGUCUAACAUACCUCUCCAUCAAACUGAGGAACUCAUAUGGUCAAGAUCAGUUUGCUUCUGAAAACUUCUGUAUGUGAAAUAGGAAAAUGUGAUGCUGAAGGAACAAGUUGAAGUCCUGCUAAGGGAGAACGCUGUUCUGAAGCGAGCUGUGGCAAUUCAGCAUGAACGUCAGAAAGAGUACGAUGAGAGAAGCCAAGAGCUGCAGCGUCUGAAACAGCUGGUGUCCCAGUAUCAAGAGCAAUUGAGAACGCUGGAGGUAGGCAAGUCUGCCAUUCAUCUGGAUGUUCUGCUUUUGCCUCAACAAAGGCCUUAAUGAAUUCUUUGCUCUCUUGUUGCAUGGCAGGUCAAUAACUAUGCACUUACAAUGCACCUCAGACAGGCUCAGCAAAGCAGCUCUAUUCCAGGACACUUCCAUCCUGAUGUCUUUUAAGAUGGAUGAGCUGCCUGCCCUUUCCCAGUUUAUCGUAUGUCUGCUUACUGUUCUGUCAAAAAUAAGUUGCUAUCUUUGUGUGCAAGUAUAUCAACAUACAUACAACCUAUAUAUCAACAUAUUUAGAACCUUCUGUCUUUUUUUUUUUUGUUGAAUGCAAUAAAAAGAUAUUGAACUGUCAUUAUAACUGUCACAAUUUGCAUCAAUGGUGGGUUAGAUCUCGUAGCAGGAAGAGGAGCUCCAUUCUUUUUGGUAGCAGUUAGAACUAACUCAUCCCAAAUCUGUGUUUCUAAUUCUUCUAGCAAUUUGCUUUUGUUAUGGACACAACACUGCAUUAUUUGGACCAGAAAUAUUUUCAGCCGUUAUUAUGUGCGCGUGCUAGGCAUGUGAGGUGUACAAGGGGAAGCAUGGAUGGCUAUGAAUCUAUGAUCACGUGAGAGAGAAUAUUGAUGGCUGUGACCCCCCAUCCAAUAAACACCAACUUUUAUCUGAGUCUUAUGCAAGGGUUGAAAAUUAUGUAAUGACAAGGGGUAUAUUUAGGGUUUCCAUCAAUCAACAGACUGCUGCACCUCAUUAAUAAUGCUCAGGGCCAUGGUUGAAGCCCUAGUAGUUUGUGUCAUAGUAGGAAUGUUAAUUGGUCGUUAGAGAAAUGUUGCAUGGCAAGACUUGUUGCUGAACGUUAUCCUCAAUUUUCUGGAAUGCCAUGGACACAAGAUGAUUGGGGUGAAUUACAAGGUUGGUGCAAUUCAAUAACAAAUAUGCUAAACCCAACAGACAGACUGUCAAGAGAGAUGCUAGCAGCUUUUCGGGAGGGAAGCACAAACGUUCUCGGGUGGUAAGUGCCUCUGUACAGUGCAUGUGGAGGAACAGUUAUUGAUAAUUCCCUAAGUUUAGAAGUAAUACUAUUAUGCAGUCCCUAAGUUAUAAGUAAUUGCAGAUUUAUAGAGUACAUUGAGGAGAGAUGAUGCUUGGAUGUGCCAUCUUUGAUGGUUCUUGUGUGCAUUAUGUUUGUUGGUUCCAGUCUGCUGAAACAGCCGCCGUGGUGCUGGUGGUGCUUGGGGAUAGCCACCUGACCACUUCAUUGAGUGCCUUUGUGUAGCAUCCUGUCAUGCCAAGGAAGAAUUAUGCUUGCAAACCAAUUGGUUGGCAGAAAGGGGUACCGUGUAUGUUUUUAAAUUCAUAGAUUUUCAUGUACGUCUGGUUUGUAUGUUGUAACCCCUCUAGGAUGAGAGGUGGUAUGCGCGUUUUGACAAAGAGGGGCUUGUAAUACAAUGUAACUUAUUUAAGUUUGGAUCAAGUUCCAAUUCAAGUCAGCUCAAGUUUAUUACAUCUUUGGCAUCUCUGGGUAUUUAUUGUGUUUCAAUGCAAUGCAAUAUAUGGGAAGGUGAUGCUUCAAGGACCUUGAAACAUUCCAACUCUUUGCUUCCAUCAGAUCUUUGAGCAUCAUUGUUUUGUCUUACUUUUUCUUGGACACUACUUCAUAUGUUCUUAUCACUUUGUUAAUUUCUUUUUGUACACAUCUAUCUUAUCUUAUGGCUGUAAGUGAUCCCAUGUAAACAGUUUCCUCCUUUAUUUUUUUACAGCUUUUAUCUCCUCGGUAACCCACCCCCGCCCCCUCCUCCCAAAAAAAAACGAAAAUCCCAUGUCUUUUUGUUUUAUAUGCUGCGAUUGGGACAUGUUUCAGUCCAUUGCAAUUUUACAAGACCGGAAUUUGAGCUGUUGCUUGUAGUCUAGGAGUGGUCAUUCUUAGAAUAGCUUCAUGGAUCUUGCUAACAUAUCGAGCUGAUAUAUCUACCAAAUGCGAACAGAAGAUUGAGGUAUUUUAACCUGACCUGUGCAUGAUUGAACCCAACCUGACGCGGUUUAAAUUUCAGGUCGGAGACCGUAACCAAUUAACUUUCAUAGGUCAGGUCAUGAAAAAGGUUUUAGAUGAACAGAGCUAGGGCUGGAAUUGAGCCUGGGCUGGCCUGAAGCCCAUUAGACCGGUCUAAUUUUGGGCCGAGCUUCGGGAUAGAUCCAAAAUAGUUUAGACCGGAUUUAGGUUUAAUUGUAGAGUCCAUUUGUCUUUUGGGUCGGACUCAGAUAUAUCUUUAGCCCCAGUAUGAAUCCGAAUCCAAACCCCAAUAAAACCAUCAAUAUUUUAAUUUCAUGGUGUAUAACACGCCAUGCUACCCCUUGUAUUUCCUCGAUUCCCAAUUACACGCUAUCCACCUGCAUAUGCUCCAUGAUUUGCCUGGGUUCACCUGCAACACGUCAAAUCCUACAGUAGGCAACAUGCAACGCUACCCCUUCAAUUUCACCGAUUCUCGAUUACCUGCUAACCACCAUGCACAUGCUCUCAGAUUUGCCCUAAAAUUUUUCUCUUUACCGCCCCUAACCCCAAGCCCCAGCCGUUCCCUAACCUCCUUAAGUGCUCCUACCUUUCGCUCACCUUAGUGUAGGAUGGUCACCAACACUAUAUCGGCAUUUGUCAUUAUCCAGUCUGUAAAACAAAGCUGCCGCCUCAACCUCUCCAACAGUGUUGGUGAGGUCCGUGGGCGGUCGUUUGACCACAGUCGUUGUUGCUCAGUUCUCACCGCCUGACUUUUCGCCACCCAUGCCCAACUGAUUCUAGAGGUUAGACCACCUCCAACAGUGACGGUAGAGGCGACGAACGGGGCCGCUGAUGCUAGACAUACUCUACUUCUGUGGCAUCCAUCUCCACCAAAUCAGAGCCUGACAGUGUUCAAUGUGAGCGGUGCCGCCAGGAAUGCCAUGCUAACGGCGACGGUGUGGGAGUUAGAGAGCAACACAAGCGGGUUUAGGGAUGGCAAAAUUAAUCCGACCCGAUGGGUAUACACCCUAUCCGAACCCGGUCAAACCCGAAAAAUAGGGUUUGACUGGGUUUGGAUUCGGGUUUGGGUAAAACCUGAAAACUAUAGUAUGGGUAUGGGUAGUGCUAUUUUCUACCCGAACCCGAUCCGAACCUAUGAGUAUGGAUACUAUCCGAACCCAUAUCCGAAUACACACACACACACACAUAUAUAUAUAUAUAUAUAUACAUAUACNNNNNNNNNNNNNNNNNNNNNNNNNNNNNNNNNNNNNNNNNNNNNNNNNNNNNNNNNNNNNNNNNNNNNNNNNNNNNNNNNNNNNNNNNNNNNNNNNNNNNNNNNNNNNNNNNNNNNNNNNNNNNNNNNNNNNNNNNNNNNNNNNNNNNNNNNNNNNNNNNNNNNNNNNNNNNNNNNNNNNNNNNNNNNNNNNNNNNNNNNNNNNNNNNNNNNNNNNNNNNNNNNNNNNNNNNNNNNNNNNNNNNNNNNNNNNNNNNNNNNNNNNNNNNNNNNNNNNNNNNNNNNNNNNNNNNNNNNNNNNNNNNNNNNNNNNNNNNNNNNNNNNNNNNNNNNNNNNNNNNNNNNNNNNNNNNNNNNNNNNNNNNNNNNNNNNNNNNNNNNNNNNNNNNNNNNNNNNNNNNNNNNNNNNNNNNNNNNNNNNNNNNNNNNNNNNNNNNNNNNNNNNNNNNNNNNNNNNNNNNNNNNNNNNNNNNNNNNNNNNNNNNNNNNNNNNNNNNNNNNNNNNNNNNNNNNNNNNNNNNNNNNNNNNNNNNNNNNNNNNNNNNNNNNNNNNNNNNNNNNNAAGUUCGGGUUUGGGGAUGGGUAGUAUACUAUCCGACCCAAACUCUACCCAUUGCCAUCCCUAAGCGGGUUAGAGCUUUAGAUAUAUAUUUUUUAAAAUUAUUUAAGAGGGAACCAGAAAGAGAGGUGAUGUGGGUGGUAGGUUGGCCCAAUCGUGUUUGGGCUGGGCUCGGGCCUGAGUCAAAAAUUUUUGGGUCUAAGCCCGGUCCAUAGCCCGACAAAAUAUUUCGAGCUGGGCUCGAGCAAGGGUUUGGCUCGAUCUAGCUCGACCCACUUUCAGUCCUAAAUGAAGCUAAUCAUUCAAGUUGACUCAAAGUCAAACAUGAUUUGGAUCCGAUAAAAUUUGUUUAAGUUAGGACCCAGAUUGGAUUGGGACAACUUCGCUGGUCGAUUUAAGCAUUCAACUCUAUAGCUAAAAAUAUAGUAAUUAGUAAUCAAUAUAAAAUCAUUAAAAAUUCUAAAUAAAACUAACAAGAUGACCGUUUAAUUAUUAAUUUUUAUUUUUUAAAAAUUUAAUUCAAGAAAAUAAUUAAUCUGAAGUUACAAGCAUAGUAUGUUAUACCAACUGAUACAGAUAUAUAUUGGACAACACUAUAUCAUAUCUGUAUAUAGAGCUAUCAAGAUGAGCUGACCCGUCCCGAUCCGUCACAAUCCGCCUCUAAACAGGGUAGGGUGGGCUGGCCCAUUUAACUGAUGGAUUGGGAAAACUCCAACCCAACCUGACCUGCCAUGAGCUGCAGGUUCAACGGGCUAACCCAUCAAAAUUUCAAAAAAAAAAAAGAAGACCUGUAAAAUAGUAAUACAAACAGAGAAAAUGUAGUACUAAAAAAAAGAAGAAGAAAUAUAGUACUAAAACAGCAAAAUAAACAGAAGAUGACAAGCAUCCACAUGUUAUUUUUGUGGAUAAAGAAAAUGCAGUGAUCAAGCAUAAUGAAGUACUUAUAGAUCGCGAAGCACAAAUUUAUGAUUUGGGAGGUAUUUGAAUGGUUUUAAGGUUGAUAUACCGAAAAAAAAAUUGUAAAACAACAAUAUAAACAGAGAAAAUGUAGUACUAAAAUAAUAUAUGGUACUAAAAAAAAAAAAAGCUAGCCAGUCUGCCCUGAACCCGCCAUAACCAGCAAUCCAAAUGGGAUAGAUUAUUUAAUCUAUUUUUAAAUAGAUUGCUAAAAUAUGAAUCCAACCCGCUCCAUUUAUAUGGUGGGACAGACGAACCUGACGGAUUCAAUCCAAAUUGACAGCUCUACCUGCAUGAAUCGAUACGUGGAAUAGGAAGCAUGCUAAUUAUUAACAUGCUGAUCCAAUGCGCUGUACGAUAUAUAUUAAUGUUGUACCAAGAUGGUGCUGGUAUAGAAUCAGUACCGAAAUUACGAACCUACAAGUCUAUAAAACACAAUUUUAAGAAAUAUAAACUACUAAUCUUGGGAACAUUGUAAAUAGGAAUUCAGCAAAUUAGAUGAAUGCUUAAUUAUAACCAAGAGUAGGUGAGAGGAGAUUGGGUUACCCGGAUGAACAUAGAGGGUUUAGUUUAGGUGAAGAUUCAUUUGACCAACUGGGAAAGAAAUUUGAGGAGGGGACGGAGGUUUUAUAUGAUUUUGAUUCUCUGUUGGGUCGGAUUGGGUCCCCGUUGGAUUGGGUAGCUCUUUUGUCGAUCCAAAUUAGACCCAGAUGACAUACAGGCCUGAUUGGAUCUAGGAAACUAUAAGACCCAACCCAAGCCAGUAUUCUAAUUCGGUCUAAUCUUUGAUCUUAACCUAACCCAUGCAUCAUAAAGAAAGGGUCUUGUUAGAUCUUAUUGGGUAAGGAUUGGGUCAGGUCAUCAAUGGGCCCAUUUGCUAUGAGCAGCCGAAAAGGAUCAAGUUCACCAAACAGAUAUCGAUUCAUAAAAGACUACAAAUACUAUACCUAAUCGAAUUAAUUCCCUUUCCUUUUUUUCACCUUUGUCCAUCACGUGACAGGGAGAAAAAAAGGCUGAGUGCGAAGACCAAAUUCUAAGGCUCUCAAGGAUUAGAGAAGAUUCUUGCUAGAAUGAGUAUGAAGCAAUAUUAAAACAAUAAAUACAGCUAAAACGAAAUCAAAGUCGCAUAGUAUAUAAAAAUGGACUGCCAGGAUCAUCACCGGAACUCAAAGAUAUUUAAAGAUGAAAAGGUUAACACAUAUAUAUAUAUAUAUAUAUAUAUAUAUAUAUANNNNNNNNNNNNNNNNNNNNAACACAUAUAUAUAUAUAUAUAUAUAUAUAUAUAUAGCAAUCAAGAAAAGUUCGUCUGUACAUCCAUGAGUUUGUUUUAGAAACUAAAACCAGCAUAUCCACAGUUUCAAGUCAGUUGAACCUGGAUAAUUAUCGAGCAGGAGCAACACUUUCUUUGAAGAGGAUGUUUGCCACGGCUGGUGGUAGCCAUGCUGCAUCACUACCAUUCAGUCCACCCUGCUGCAGCCCUUCUCCCUGCCCUGAGAUGCCAAAACCUUUCUUCCUCCUUGAUCUCCCCAUACUCUUGCCCACAAAGAAUCCCAGUUUCAGUGCUGUAAACAAACCCAAAGCAAUAACCAAUGGCCUCACAGCCCAAUGGAAAUCCUCAAGGUGUUGGUACUUACUGAUCAUUCCUUGGCAUGUACUGAAGCUCACCACUUCCACCUCGGAAGGAUCUGCGAGAAAGCUGCAGACUUCUCCAAAGCGAAGUCUGCCAGGAAAUUUGACGACAAGGCACCCAUUUGGAAAAACCUGUGAGAUUCUGCCUGUGGCCCAUUCCCCACCUCUCUUGCGUGGCCACUCAAACCUGGGACUAGAUACAGUAUCUUUCGGCCUUAAGAACUGACCGACGCAGUAGGUCUCUGCCAUCUGAAUCUCUGAAUAUUUCCCGUUCCAGAGAGUUUCCAUCCCAACAAAACCAACAGUUACUGUUCCAUCUCGCUCGUCGCUGUGGAGGAUGCCAACUGGAGACUGCUUCUUGGUUUCCUCCUUCAACCGUACCCAGUCACCAGCAGCAAAACCAUGGGUCACCCUCUUCACUGUAGAAGAGUGCACCCUGAAAGGAUCACGAAAUCCGUGGAUUCUCACAAGCACAAAACCAUCAUGAUCCACACUGUUUUCCAAGCCAACCACGGUUCCCUCUAGGAUCUCCAUGCUUUCUGAGCUGAAGGAGUUUCUAGUCUUUCUAGAGCACACAGCAUCACCUACUUGAAGGUGGUCCUUUAGAAGGGACCAAUCAGUGUAACCGAUAUGGCUUGAUCUGUCUGCCACAUGCUUCUCGGAAUCACCCCAGCUGCUAUCACUGGAAACUGCAUCCUUGCAGCUGAAUGGACAUAUAGCAAAUUUACUGCUUUAAAGAUGCAGCACUAAACAAAAAAUAUCAGAGAAGACAGAAUCUGAACAUUUUAUAGGAAAUGCAAUUUUCUAUUCAUGUACAAAUUCAGAAGAAUGAGAUCCGUAUUGAACAUUGAUAUCAAUCAAACCAAUGCUCUAGGAGAAAAUAGCCAAAUGCUCAAAUAAUGUGUGACUGGUAUAAUAUGAAAACGAAACAAGGCUCUAAAUUAUAUUCAUUGCUUUCUUACUGAAACCAUCAACAUGCUUCUGACAGUGAUACUGUAUUGUACAUGAUUAUCAUGCCAAAUUAAUGAGAUCGUUUCUAUGAGAUAGAAAAACUCAUCGCAAAAGAAAGAAAAGAUGAAAUCUCUACAAAUGUAGUAUGCCUACUAUAAACAAGAAACAGUUCCCCGAUUACAACAAAUUAUAUUUAAAUGAAAGCGUCCUUUAUCAUAUAAUGAACAGUCAAAAUGAUGCGUGGCAUAGUUUUACACAAUUUCUUGAUAGUUAAAAUGUAGCAUGCGGUGCAGUAGUCUUAACCAUAUUUUCCAUAAUUAGAACCCUCAUAUGAGAGAUGCCUGAGGAAAAAAGAUUGAAACCUUAAGUUCAUCACCAGAUAUGGUCAAGCUCAGCUGCAGGCUGCGUCACUCAUCCAAUAUUAUCGCGACAAAAGUAUAUAGCAACCGUAUGAGACCUGCAGGCUGCUACCUACAAUUAGCUUAAGGCUUGUUGGUUGCUUAAUGCUGGUUGGUUGCAUAUGAGAAUGAACCACAGAACUAUAAGACAAGCACCUCAAUCAAUCAGGAAAACUUCAUAGCUAAAAUCCUGCUUCGUUUCAAGCAGCUAUGAACUAGCAUCCAUUAAAUUACAAAAAAAAUACCUCCUCCAUAUUUGCAUGCCAUCAUCUAGUCCAAAAGGCAUUCAUGCUAAUUCUUUUACACUAAACUUCAGACAGAACUCAGCAACAGCAAUCCCUUUUUGAAAGAUUUAAGCUGAGAAUUUGUCCAAGAUAAUUAUAUAGGCUGAACUGGAAUGGCUGGAGGUCAAUCCAAAUAUUAGCAUAAGGUGAAGGUUCAAUUUCAAAUAUCAGUUUUUUAUUUUUGGAGCAAUACCCAGGUUUUGAACCCUUGACCUUCAAAUGUCACUGUUUCUGCUACAAUCAUAGAAAUGUGGAAUAUCCUUUUCCUUUAGUUAAAUUCUCAUGAUCGAAGAGAAUCUGCACAUCAUUUCAGCCUAUCCCACAAAACAUACGCAUAUAUAGUGGCUCAACAAUAUGGUGCAGUCUUUGUGACAAUCACAAAACCACCUUCUGUGACUGCCAGAAAACUGAUUCUUCAGGUGCAACCAUCCUCAGUACGGACAUGUCUGUACCAUAUUAAAUUCUCUGAUGCAUAGGUUGUCAAAACAGCUGCUGGACAACACAUCAUAAAUGACACAAUAAAUUUUCUAAUUUGCUUCCUUAUAGAAUCAGAUAAAAGUGAAAGUGCUCUGGUUAAAUCAUGAUGGGAUUGCAUAUAUAACAUCUAAUUUCAUCAUCCCAUCUCUCAUCAUCUACAGUUUUCCCUGUAGUCACAUAAUUAUUUUCACUCUCACCAUUUACUUCUGGGCAUCUUCACAUGCUAACAUCUAAUUUCAUCAUCCUAUCUCUCACCAUCUACUGUUUUUCCUGAUAGUCACAUAAAAACUUCCACUCUUACUAUUUACUUCAGGAAAUUCAAUUUCACUACCUUGGCAUCUUCUAUCCUUACCAUGAAUCUUCAUAUGCAACAAACUCUAGUUGGGGGCACAAGAGGAAAUCUCUCUCCAGUCCACACAGUGCUGCAUUGCCAUCUCUUCACUUCCUCUGAUACAUGAUAUCAACACCUAAUGCACAUGUAGUCUCAUAUAUAUCCAGUCAUAGUUGUCUAAAAAAGUUUCCUCAUCAAAUCAUCGUUCCUUUGACAUACUAUCUUAAUAUGGAAUUCUCAUCCAACAAAUCUUCCCAUGCCAAACUCUCAUAGUAGGGAAGCUAAAACAACAUCUUCCUUCAUAAUGAUAAAUUUAAAUGUCCACUUCAUCAUUUUAAAAUGUUAAGUCACAUAUUUCACAUAAGCAUCAUUAACAUCAUUGUCAGAGAUAAACCACCUAGGUGACAUGGACCUGCUUUUCUUGUAAACUUGAGUAUGUUACCUUUUUUCAAAAACAAAAGAAGAAAAUUCUUUGACAAAAAUUACUUUCGUACAUGUAAAGACUUUCAAAAUCAUCCAGAAAGAAUGAAAAGAAUCAUGUUGAAGGGUCCAGCACCAAAAUAAAUUCACAUAAAAUCAAAUUCCUUGAAAUCAUGAACCAUGAAAAGAGAAGUGGCUACAGGUUAUCUAUAAUAAUUGGGCUUUAAAACCAGGUGAACAUGUUCCAUUUAUUUAAAACAGAAAAAAGAAAAAUAACUCAGCUCUCGGGUAUGUAUAAUACUUUUUGCACAAUCAAAUUAACACUGCAUGAAUGUGAUGAAAUGGUGAGAUCUCCAACCAUAAUCUAAAACUUGCUGUAAAGAACUUGCUGAUUGAAUUUCAUAUGAAGAGGAAUUUAUACAAGCAUGUACUUGGUAUUUAGUCUAAAAAUCUCUCAGCAAAUCAUGAAAGCAAAUGUUAGUGCCAAAGUUUCAAUGUCUGCACUUUUAUUCACCAACGAAGCCUCGCAUGGAAAAUGCGUAUGAGAGGUCAAAGUAGCUUUAAUGCUUACCUUUGAAAUGCAUGUAAAAUGUCUGAUAUUAGAGGGCGAUUUCGGAGGUCAUACUCAAAGCAUCCAUAAAGGACAUUUUCAACUUGAGGCGGUAAGCCACUUGGAAUGUCUGGUUUUUCUUUCUUUAUCACAACCAAGUGAUAGAUUUCAUCAGGUGACUUCCCAUGCCAAGGCUGGAUACCACUCAACAUUUCCAAUAUACUGCAUCCAAACCCCCAUGAAUCAGUUUCAAAAGAAAGUGGGCCCCUAACUUUUGGUUGCCAUUGUUCAGGAGCCAUGUAGUUUGGUGUCCCAAGCCUCUGAACCAAAUCUGAAUUUGGCAAUGGAAGUCCAAGCAAUAAUGAUGGGAUACCAAAGUCUCCUAGAACUGCAUGGUCAUGUUCAUCGAGAAGCAAAUUACAGGGCUUAAUGUUGAGGAUUAGAAUUCUUCUUGAGUGGAGUUCCAAUAUUCCCUGAGCCAAAUCAACACCAUACCUGUGGAAAGAAAGAUGCCAGAACAUGAUAAGGAUUCAAUCACAUAAUUUUGUAAUUCAUUUAGAAAGCAGCCCUGAUGUUAAAUCCACAUUAUCACCUUAAAACAUCAGACAGUGCAAGCCUUCCACCUUUGAGACAAGCCAUCUUGUCACCAAUUGAUCCCUCAUAAAACUUCAUUGCAAUGCAGACCUGGAAAGUCAUUUCAAGAUGCUAGCCUUAGACUUUAUACUAUAACUCGAUGACAGAACUAAAAUUCCUCUUUUGGAGCAUCUGACAUGCAGAUAAGCCCAAAUGUAAGCACUUACUUACCCUUCCAUUUUGAACUGAGAUUCCAUGCAAAAAGCAAACACCCUGUAGUCCAUGGCACUUGGAGAAUAUUUCAUCAAACUUGACCAAAAAAGGCUGAAGCUGAUCAUCUUUUAUAGGAUAUAGCAUCUUGACAGCAACCUCAUGAAAGCGAUCAUAAUCUUUGGUACAAUGAUGAUGAGUUGCUACCCACACAUCACCAAAUGGGCCUCGCCCUAUGCGGUGUGUCAAUUUCAGUGCACUGGGAUCAAUCCAUGGGCUAAUUUGGUUUGGCGUAGAUACCACUGCUCUGAGAUGAUCUGGAUCUCCCUCAAACAACAUGAAUUCAAAUGAUUCAGUAGCUUGAGAUGCAGCAGCUUUUCCAGCCAUGUUCCUAGUUGAAUGAAGUAUGACCUUUAAAGGCUACCUGAAUAAAUGAUUCACAAUAGUCCAUAAUUCACACUACACAAAGGUAAUCUAAGUUAUAAUACAUAAAUCCGACAAGAAAUUUGCAUGAACAAGCAAACUAUGACAAAGUUUAAUUAAAAACCUCUGGCGAAUUUACAUUAACCAUGACAGAUGCUACACUUGUCUUUCAUAUGGACAUGAGUGAGUACACUGUGUUAAAUGAGAAUGCUGAUUUCUAGUUAUAAUGGAUGUGAGAUGGAGAACCCAAGGUCAUUCCUACAUUCACAACCAAUUCUUGAAUUGAAUCUCUUUGCGAUUGUGUUUUCAAAUCAAUAGUGGCGGCCAUACAGUUCUUGGUCAGUAUACCCUACUGGGUCGGUACGGCAAGCCCCAUACCAGCCAGUAUGUGAUGGUACCCAAACCUUGAUGUAACAUUGGUGCUUACAUCUCAAUUAUGUUCUCAUACUGCAGAAAGAAGCAUGUCUGUCAUUAUUAUUUUAGUUUCAUUGAAUAAAUUUUCUCUUGUUAAGCAAAAAAAAAAAAAGCAGUGCGCUGCAUCAAUGAUGAACACAUAGACAGGUGUUAAGCAGAAAACAAGAGCUCUGCUUUUGAAACAGCACACACAUCAUAUUAUUGCACCAUAUGAACUUGCUCUAGCCAAGACAAGCCAAAAAAGAAUCUGUUAAUGGCAGUAGUGAUGCACUACACCAUGCAAGAUAAUUCAAUAAAUCCCAUGCCAGGAAACCAUCUAUCAUUAUCUAAAACCCCAUCCUUUCAAAAACUUAUCACGCUCAUGUCCAAUAACUAUCAACAUGAAAACCCAUCAUAGAUGUCGGUGCCAUUCCUGUCACAAAAUUCAGUACCAGCUCAAACAAACAAGCCAUAUAAGUUAAACUGAUUAAGCUGGUUAAAGUGCCUCUAGGAGUGCAUGAAAUAUUGACCAACAUAUAGUAAAGCAACAACCAUAACUUAUGUCACAUAGCCAAUCAGAAGCCAUCUCAUUGUAGCAACUUCCACUCCAUCUAACACCAGUACAUACAAUUAAAACAAUUCAGUCUAUGAAAAUCUUGCAAGACCUAUUUAGGAAGCAAAGUUAGGGCGUGGUUGGUGUUGCUUCUGCUUUAUAAAAAGAGAAGGAAAAUCCAGUAGCUAGGUUAUCUAGCUUCUCCUAAAAGCACUUUUUUUUUUUUUUUUUGACUUUUUCUUCUUGUGGAAGCACUUUUCAUAUAAUGUUAACAAACAUUCAUUUUUUGGGGAAGUGCUUUUUUGCUUUAAGGCACAAAAACACCUCUUUUAAGCAAUAAUUUAAUCACAUAGUAAAUUAUGAAGAAGAAAAGAAGAAGAUAGGAAAAAUAUAUCAGCAUAAUAGCACCAUCGGUUCGAUUUAUAACAUAAAGAAAUAGCAGCAAAUAAUUAAACUAAAAAGAAAGAGAGGCUUCCAAACAAAACAACAAUUUUCUCUCAUGAAGAUCACUGGAAACGAUUGUCCUACAAACUUCUUCUAAGACAUAUAGAUAGAUAGAUUGAUUUUCUUUAAGCAUACCACUAACACCCACAGUGGCUUAUCAAGAAAGCUGGUAAAUUGACAUGAAGAGGGGAAUUUGCAGAGCCAAGAGAACCUAAAGGUAACAUAUUUAAGAUGUUCCUCUUAAAACUACUUUUUCAUUUUUGUUUCUGCCAAUUUUCUCCAGACACAAGAUAAAAUUCAAGAUCUAUACAUAAGGCUGAAACAGAUCAGUUAUAACCUGACCAUAAUUCCUCCUCUAGAUCCAGACAUGCAUAUAAAAAUUAAAUGUAAUAUCUAGAUACAGAUAGAGCUGACAACUAUCAGAAACAAGGUCCACAAUCUCGAUACCGGGUAUCGUAUUAGUACCUUAUUAGUUUGGUAACACACAGUCAGUAUAAUAUGGUGUGCAUCUCAUAUUGAAACAGCCCUCUAUCCUUUUUCUCACUUUUUAGUUUAGUGCACCUUGGUAUAUAUGGGUCGAAACUCCUCAGUGCGGAUCGGUACACACCUCGGUAUAAUGUGGUAUAGGAUCUGUUCCGAUCCAAACUUGAGUGUCCUGCCGGUCCUACCUAGUGUGCCCCAUACUGAGCGGUAUGGAAUGGUAUGACAGUCUAUGAUCAGAAAUAUAUUUCCUUUUGCCUGUAAUGAUGUAUUGAGGCUUCAACGCUGAUUAUGCAUUAGUUUUAUAUUGUUUAAUUUGAUGGAUGACAUUUUUAAUUGGUUUUAUCGAUUUAUCACAAGAUACUUUUGUAUUGGGCUUAUAUAUGUUUAUGUUGGAGAUAAUACAUGUAUUACAAAUAUCAAAUAAAGAAAGCACUAAUUUGCAACUCUCCAAUUCAUAUCUGCUAUUUUUGAAACUAAAAAUGGAUAUCACACAUAUCUGAUCCAUAACCAUAUAUAUUUUAAUAAAUGGAUGUUACCAUUAUCCAAUGUCAUGGUGGUGGCAGUCAUGAUGGUGGAGGCAGCAAUGAAAGUGAUGGCUGUUAUGCAAUGAUGGUAAAAAAAAAAAAAACAUGUAGUUUUUUUUUUUGAAGAUUAAAAAUAAGGAUUUCUUACUUUUAUUUUCUAAAAAUGACUUUAGGAAAAAAAAAAAAAAAAGAAACAAUUGCAACAAUUAUAUUUAUUAUCUCGGUUUCUGUGUUCUCAUUUUUUUAAAAAUAAAAAGAUAAAAGCGACACCAAACAGGCCCUACGAAAUAAGAAUCAUAAAGGCAAAUAAAAAAUCCAUCUCCAAAUAGAAAUUUCCAGACAAUCUACAACCACUCCGUAAAAUAAAACUCAUCAAAAAUAAAAAACAUAACAUGCACUACAAAAUGGGCAACACAAUAAAUUCAAUCAGAUGAUCACACCCAAAAAAUAAAAAAUAAGGCAAACAGGAAAGCAAAAAAAAUCUACUAGCAUGGAUCAAAUUUAGAUGCAAAAACUAACGCAAUCCAUCACAUAACAUAACGGAACAACAAACUCGCCUCACCUAAAAUAGAUUCUUUCCCUUUCCGAAUUCCUUCCAAGUGCUGUCGACGAAUUGAUCGGCAAUAUAUAGAAAAACAAAAAUAAAUAAAAAGAUUCGUAGAAAGAAACUAAUAAUCGAAGACGUCCAUCAAGAAGAAGGCGAGGAAGAGAAGGACUAGCAGGGGGAAGACUUGGAGAGGGGAUGAUUUCUUCUAAGGGAAGAAGAGGAGUGGACUCUGUUUAUGUAAGGAGCGCCAGGGCGCGGGGGGAAGAGGAGGUGGAUGUUCGCUUCUUGGUUACUCAGGGUGCGUGUGUGGGUAUCGCACCAUCCGACGCUAUUUUUAACGCAAAAGAAGCCAUCAUUUUUUGAGGACCUUCUCCUUAGGGGCGGAUAUAAACGGCCUUUUUCUAUAUUUUAUUAUUAUUAUAUUCCACUUUACUAACUCUCCAUGAUCUUCUUCCUUAAGGACUAUUAGUUAAUGUCACGUCACGGCAAAAUAAAUAAAUACUUUAAAAGUGAUUAAAUACGUCGUGAGGGGUGAGAGGUCCCACGGGAUCCGUUUGUUCGUUGCUCGAUAAAGCGUGACUGGGGCAAUGGUGGGAGGAGCUGGAGAGCAUUUUGUCGAAAAGGAAGGGUGUGUUUAUCAACGUCUGUGGCUUUUGUAUCGUGGACCUGGGCAGUGUUUCCAAGAUAUUAAAAUCCCUGGUUGCGCCACGUCGGAUGGGGGCCGCAACGUGCCACGUACAUAUUUGAAGGUUUUGGAAACAAAUAUGUGUCGACGCACACUGACGGUGCGCGAUCCGGGAGGAUGCCUCGCACCUCGCUGUUUACGCCUCGUGACGUGGUGCGUGUGGGGCUGGAUCAGUUUGUGAAGUAAAUAUUCAUUGAAACGGUAAUAUCAUCUUAAAUUUAUAAUAAAUUAAUUAAAAAUAAAAAUAAUAAAAUAAUAUGAGAUAUCAUUAUAAAAAUCGAUGAAUAUACGGCAGUCGAUAAAAUAUAAAUAUUUUUAUUAAUUUAUUACAAAUUUGACAGAGACAACAUCAUUAUAACGAAUACUUGUCUAGUUUGCAGCUUCCCAUUUACCUUUCAUUGAUGCCUUGAGAGUCUCAUGCAAAGAUGUUCUCAUCCCCUCAUUGGAUGCAUGUUUACGUACUGAAUUUUAUGACGAACUAGAAGGUUUGACAGCAAAAGUGCCUUAAGACAACUCAUACUUGUACCUAGUUGCCUACAAAAAGUACAUGUAUGUGCUGGGAAUGACUUUGAACUUUAUCGAGGCAUAAGCAAUGCACAAAGCUACAUUUGUUUUGCCCUAAAAUUAAAAAUGUGCACGACCGAGGAGCAUUUGGUGGAUAUAUAGCUAUGAAGCCAUCGCCUUAUAAUUCACAUCAUUCUUUGGAGUCAAAAAAAGAGUAUUUAUGACUGCCAAUGAUCCUAUCAAUUUGAGGGGAAAAAAAAGGUUCAGACUUGCAUCCUGAAAGAACCAUGGAAAACAAAAUAAGGUGGACGGCAGAUCCAGAUUAGCAAACUGUAUACUUCGACAUCUCAUUUGUACCAACAAUUCGUUUUAUGGACCAUGAAGUAAUCAGACUUCCAUCACUUUCUCAGCUCUCACAUGCUUGUCAAACACUUCAUUCGAACAAUUCCUAGUAUUCAGUACACCGUCGGAAAGAUUGUUUGGGGUCGCAAGCAAGGUUAUGCCAUAACGAGUACGUGUCCCAGAUUUUGUCUGCUCGUCUCUGCAGAAUUUUUCUCGUUUUCCCCUCAACAGAAACGUUUUAGAAUGCAGCAUAACGGUCCCCAAGUCCAUACUUGGGUCAGUGCCUUUUGACAGGUCAUCUAUAUCCGAAAGCUUCUGGAGAGCAGUGGCUGCAGCUUCAGCUUCCAGCUGAAGCCUUUUGAUCGCCAAGUUCCACACACUUGUGCCCCCAGUUCUCUCCUAGGAAAACGCCAUAAGGUUCCUUUAAUCCAUCAGCAUCUUCCCCAUAACUCUUCUUUCAUUGUCUUUGGUUCUUUUUCCCGCAGGGCCUACUUUUUAAGGACUGCUCUGAGCUCUUCCUCUUUAUUAGCCAAAGCUUUCCGUGCAGUGGGGAAGUCCAUCUCCUUUUGUCUCAGCGAUUCCUUCUUCCUUUUUCCUUCUUUUUUUUUUUUUUUUUGAGUGAAAAUGGGGGAAGUCAGAUAUCUCCCCUGGAUUUAUGGACUAAAAUUAGAUUCCUUCAUCUCAAGCUCAGUCUCAACGCUUCUGGUUGUUGGACGUCCGUUCUCAUGUUGGGCUAUAACUCUUUAAAAUAAAUCAAGAAGGAAGAAGAGUCAUUUUAGGACUCAUAUUAGUAGCCUAUUUAAUUUGGGGGCCAGCGUGUGAAAAUUUUUUUGUGAGGCGCGCGAACCAGAGGCUUGGAAAUCGCGGCAGAAACGAUUAAGGAGGAGAAAAUAAAUAUUUUGAUACCAUUUUAUUAGAUGAUCAAAUAUUUGAUUGUAUUUUGAUUUUGAUAAAAUUUUAUUACAUUGUUUCUGAUAUUCAGAGCUAUAAAUUGAAUAAUUUUAUUUUUUUAAAAAAAAUUAUUAAUUAUUUCAAAUAUCCAUAUAUUUGAUGAAAUCUAUUUCAAUUUAUUGUUGAAAUCCAUUUUGUCAUUGAUGGUUAUUUUUAUUUUAAAAUCAAAAUUUAUUCUUGAUGAUAUAUUUGUGUAAUCUCUAAUUAAUCUAGAGAAGAUCUAUAAUAAUCUUAUUAUUUUAAACAGUAGAAGAUUCACAUCAAAUUUAUGGUGUUUUUUUUGUAGAUUGCUUGAGUAGAUCAUAGGGAUUAUUGUUGCUUUAUGAUAUUCUAUUUAAUUAUAUAAAAAAAUUAUGAUUUUAUUAUUGAUGAUUACAGUUUUUUCCAAUACUAUUUAUGAAAUCCAACAUUACGCUUCUAGGAAUGCUGCUGCCCUCUUCAUUUUACAAACACAAUCUGCUGAGAUUAUAUUUUCUUCCGAUAGGAUUCGGACCCGUCCACUCCAAAAGCUCCAAGGUAUAUGAGAAUAUAAAUUUGGCCCAGAUUGUUUUUUCCUAGUUGUACUAGCUUAAUCCAUGGAUUUUAUAGGAUUUUUGGCCAAUGCAUCCAAAUGGACCCUUACUAAUAAGGGAGGCAAAAGAGACACCCAAUUUUUUUUUUUGAUAAGAAAAAAUGGGAGUUAAGAGGGGGAUGAUCCGACGCAUCUACCUCUCUUAGGCGUGAUCAUAGGGCUCCAACCCCCACCGAAGAAUAUUCGAUUCGGGCCGAGUUUGGAUGAAUAGACGGCCUCCUUCCCACCAUAUAAACGAACCCAAUAGAUGAAUACAUCACCCCAGUAUCAUCGAGGGCCAACGGAUCAGAUGCUAUUUUCAGAUGCCAUGUUCAGGCCACGAAGAUAUUCUCCAUUCACAGUCAUUCACGUCAUGUCAUUUAAUCACAGUCUGGUAUCCGUCAAGACUCGAAUCCGGAUCACUUUGUUAGAAACAAUGGCCCCUUCUACUGUGAUGCCACCUCAGAGGCAGAGACACCCGGCCUUUAGAUGUGAAUUAAAAUAUUUGUCAUGCCACAAACGCAUCACCUGGGUCAAAUAGAACCAUAAUGAUCGCAGAUUUAGAUACAAACCGGUGAUUGUCUGGCCUUUGCAUGUUUUCUAGGGUUAUACUCUGUGGAAUAUGAGGCCGUGUCACAAGUUAAUCCAGGUGAUGCACAACUCAAUUCCUUCCAAAAAAGCACUGCCACCAACACUGAUCCAUCACCAUGAAGGGCCCAACAAUCAAACUAGUUCUAAUCAGUCUUUUAUUCAACUUCAUUGAGACAGACUUGCCUUCAUGACGUACCCCAUCCUGGGCCAUCUAUCAUUAGAGGGUUGUAGGUAUUUAUAUUCAUUGCUGCUUCAACUUUAAUGUUGCUAGAAAAUAAAAAUAAAGAUCCAUGACCAUGCCAAUUGAUCUAAAAUGCCAAGAGGCUCCUUUCUGUGCACAAUCUAAAUGAAGAAAAUAUGCCACUUUCAAAACAGAACUGAAAUUUUUCAUCUUAUUUUCAUUGCUAUCUUAACUAAAUUAGACACCAAUCAUGCCAGUCCCAAUCUAGGAAAUGAGAAGGUAAGAAGAUUGAUGCUAGGUAGGCAGCUAAUUGUCAAAAAUGAGACAAACCACAAAAUGGAAGAAAAGAACUAAUGGUGAACUUAAUUAGACAGGACAAUGGUGGUUGGUUAUGAUUCUGAACCAUAUAAGCAACCAAGUAGGUAGAAUAAGGCCAACGAACCUUUUAAUAUUUAUUUAAUGAAUAUUAUUUUGCUAAAAGUGGCAAGGGAAAUAGAUAUCCAGGCAUAAGAGAAACAUAAAGAUCAGCAAAGCCAUUUCAAGACUACAGGAGUUCUCAGAAAAAAAGACUGCAAGAAGUUCUGAAGACUAUGGCACUUCAAUAAAUGACUCAACCACUGUACACAGAUCAACACUCUUUGUGAAGGUUAUCAACAGUUGAUCUAGCUACUUUGCUAAAAGCCACAAAAGAAACGAUAGCCAGGCACGACAGAACCAUAAAAAACAGCAAAACCAUGACAAGACUAAAAGAAAUUCCACUACUUAAAAAAAAAAAAGAAAGAAAGAAAAGGCUGCAUGUAGCUCUGAAGACUAAUACUUCAACAAAGGGCUCACCACUGCACACAGAUCAACACCCUUUGUAAAGAUUAUCUACUGUUGAUGUACCUACUUUGCUAAUGGUUGCAAAGGAAAAGGAUAGCUGAAUAGCCCCACGGAUUCAGUUACAGCCUUUAUUGUCGAGCACAUUGAAAAUUAGACUUGACGCCGAGACAACGCUUGUCCACGAGAUUUUUUGUAUUCUGUUCUUUUAGAUUGUACUCACAUAAGGAUCGUAUGAUUGUCCAUUUAUAUCAAAAAAAAUAAAAAUAAAAAGAUAGCCAGAACAACAAAACCAUAAAAAAAAGUUAUAGACUAAUAAUUCAACAACGGACUCGCCUUGUUUACCGGAAAAGAAAAAAAAACAACGGACUCGCCUUGUACACAGAUCAACACCCUUGGUAACGGUAAUCUACAGUUGAUGCAGCUUUAACUCUGAUAUGUUUAAAGUUGUAAUCCAUCGUCUAACCAAUCUGAACGAUUGCACAACGACCACGGGGCUCCAAAAGUUGAAAAGAAAAGAAAAUAAUUAACCUCUGAUGGCAAAACUCAUGCAUCAUAGGAAGACCCUCUAAGGAUGUUGAGAAUUAAAAAAAAAAAAAAAAAGGAGGAAAGAAAAAAAUAGAAGAACCAUUUGUACCCCACAAGCUUGAAGGAUACGUUCGGGGAAACAAAAAAGGUUCAUGUUGGUAGGAAAUUCAAUGCAGUGGGUGAUCAUGUUGAUAGGCCAGAGAGGAUAGGUCUUUCAAGAAAGCGUUUUCAAAAAAAAUUAGAAAUUGUCACCAUAGAGGCCGACCUUGUGAACUAGUCCUUAAUGAAGUGAGAAUACAACAUGAAAAAUGUUGCUGCCGAUCUCCCCAACUAUAGUCGGAUGCUGAAGUAGUCAUGGCCGAUGUAAAUCCGUCGCUGGAACUUUGCCUAAAUACCUACAAAACAAGUCCACAUCAGGGGUGGCUCCGCUGUAGACCCUCUAAUGCUCAAAUUAGGAGACGAAGAACGAUAAGAGGAGAAAAUUAAGAGUUGAUUGAUUGCAUAUUUUUGGAGGGUCUUGGAGUCUUGAAUUUGUAGGAGAGGAAUUUGAGACGUAUUCGACUUGGAGUCCCGACAGUUUUCAAAUUUGUCAAAUGGAUAGAUUUGAAAAAAGGCUAUAUUAUCUGGACUUUUCAGAUUUAGAGAGAAACAAUUUGUAAACAGAGGUAGUAAUUCAGCAAAGAUCGACCUAGUAGGUCUUCCUCAGAAACGGCCGAUCUAGUAGGUCGCUAAAGCUGAGGAAUGUAGAAUCUUGUUAACUGAAGUUGAUUGGCUUGAAGUAGAUCGUCUGUCGAAAUAAGAAGGGACCAGAUUGAGGAAGAAGACUUGCUGCUAAUCCAACAAAUUAUACUAGACGAUCAUCGUGUCUGUCCAAUCUAGCAAGUGCCACCUCUUGUAGUUUAGCUAUAACUUGUUCAGUGAUGACAAAAUUAUUUAGGCUGAGGCCGAGGUACAGAUUUACAACAGGAAACAAGGGAACAUCAUAUGACAGCCAGUCUCUUAAGCCCAAAAGAAAAUAGUAACUGAAUGCAUAUUGGGGUAUUUUUCUCACGUUCGGUAGAUAAGCUUGUCCCACUAUGUCCAGCCACUUGGUCGUUUCUUGUCGCAUUCAGUGAGAGGCACUGCAAAAUGAGACAGUUGAAGAUUAGUUUAUUUCCCUUUUUUUGUUAAAAAAUUCUGCCAUAGUUUUCAUUUUGUCAGGAAGAACAUUUGGUGCUGAUAUGAACAAACUACAGAAACGGGUGGUAACUGAAAUUAAGGAUCAGUAUACUAUGAUGAUAUGUAGCAUAUGAACAAGUGUAUGAUAUGUGUCAGAUCAUACACUUGGUCUGUAUGAUAUGAUACACACCAUGCAGGCUAUUUAUGGGCACACUAUGAUGAUGUGUGGUGAUGUUCUAUGCUUGUGGGCCCAAAGCAGUUUGAUACAGGCCAUGGUGCGUAUGGUUUGAUACAUGCAGUAGAAGCACCACAACAGCCCGGCCCCUAAACCCCUUCCUCUCUUUCCAAUCUUACUCUUUUCGUCUGAGCUCAAUCGGAAUCUCCAGAAGUGUACAGUCUCUCCUUUGGCGUUCUGCUGUAGUGAUCCUAGAAUGUAUGUUCUUGAUCUUCUUGACAUGUACAAGCUAUCCAAAAUCAAACCACAAUGGAAAAUUGUCAUUUUAUCUUUGAUGAGGAGCAACCAAGGAAGAACAAUUAUAUGGUUCUGUGGAUUGAAAUAGAAAUUUUGUUUUUAAGUGUCAAAAUGUUAUUUUGUCCAAGUAGUUGACUGAUACUUUAUAAAUGCUGUGUGACAUAUGAAAAUCAAGACCUGUGGGCCUUAUUCGAAAGAAGAAGAACAAUGUCUGUCAAACAGUACCAAUAUUUGUUUUCCUUGAUCAUUGUUUUAAGGCUGCCAAAUAGUUUCAUUGCUGUCCACAAUUGCUGUAAUGCUUCUUCUUCCUUUUUUUCCUCUUCUGUCUGGCUUCGUUUGCAGGCCGUAUUACUCUUUUCAUGUAUAAAGUUUUUUUUUUUUUUUGGGUGAAUACUAUCCUGAACUCUGCAUUCACACACACACUGUGAAGCAAUCUGAAGGUUUGGUUAUGUACUUAUAUGCCCUUCAUUUGUGUUGCUUUUGCAAUUGUGUCAGCUCUUUCUGAUGAGUUAUUUCACUUGUGGUACUGGAGGAUUUUUUAAGUCCUACUUGGAUGAUUUGGACUGCUUUUGUUUCGUGGGCUUCCUUAUGAUCCAUUGAACCUAUUCUUCACAUCCUGAUGGUUCUUUCAAUCUAUUUUACAUUUAAUAGUCUGAAAUUUUGCUAUACUUCUCUGCACCUUAAUGUUAUUGGGGAGUGCAUUGGUUUCUGUUACUCUGGGUUGGAUGCCUAUCGCAAGCUUAAGGGGAAGCAGUCAUGAGUCAGCUGAGGUUUGUUACUUGCGCUGUUCUCUGGUUGAAAUUCCAAAGCUGAGGCCCUCCCAGAGUCAGUUCCAACAAGAAUUUUGCAAAGAAAAUUCUCACCAACCUCUUACAUAAGAAAUCAAAUUUUGAUCAAAGUUUUGUGAGGCCUUCGGUAAAUUCAGUGCAAUUUAGUUUAUUAAAUUCAAUAGAUCAUGUUUCGGUUUGGAAGAGAUUUUUACUGGUGCCUACAAAUAAUUCAUCCUAAGGUUUUAAAUCCCAUGAGAUGAGGAUAUCUUGGUUUUUCCAUGGAACAUAACACCCUGUUGUCUCACUCCAUCCUCAUCAUGGUCCCAAUCAUACAUUCUGAAAAAUAUCCACCAUCUAUUUCUUCCUCUUCUUUAUUUCCUUCCUUUCUAUUCUUCUUUCUUUUCUUUCUUUCUUUCUUUUUCUUCUACUUUCUUUUUUUUUUCCAUCAUUUUUUUGGUUCUUAUCCCUCUCUUUAUUUUUUUUUCCUUUUUCUACUUCAUUCUCUUUUCUGUCUUUUUAUUUUCUCCUUUUUCUUCUUUCUUUUCACUUUUUUUCUUUCAUCUUUUUUUUCAUUUAUUUCUUUCACUUUCUUCUUCCCCUUUCCAUAUGGAUAGAUUUCGGUUUCAGAGUCUUGAUCCUUAUCCUAUUCCCAUUUACUCACGGGAUGGGAUGCUUCCAAUCUUAUUAGAACUUAAAACCUUUAUAAAAUCUCUACAAAACUAUUUUUCCAUCGGAAUAUUUUUGCCAACCAAGAAAUCGGUUGGAUCUUCCUGGAAUAGAACAGUGGCUGCUAUAACAAUCACUAUUAGCCAUUAUAACACUCACCAUUGGCAGUUUAAUCAAAUUUUCAGGUUAGCUUAUCCAAGCUUUCUAAUCUCUCUUUUUGCUUACAUUUGAAUCAUAUCUGCUCAAUACCUGGGCAACAUUAGAGAUCAGAAUUGAUUUACAUGCUUCAUUACAUCGAGGGCUGAUACCUGGUAGCUUUUUACACAUCCAAUUAUCAUAAUCUUGGUGAUCUUUUCAGCUCUUUUUUAUUCCUUAAUACUAGCAUCAAGGUAACCACAGGAAGUUAUGCGGUAGGCUAGCAAUUAUCAUUGACCUUCAUACUUAUCCCAACCGCAACGUUUAAACCAGCUGAAAUAUUAGUAAAGUGAUGGAUGCCACGUUAUUUGAAAGUAAACGGUCCUGUUCCAACUCACGGGGAAAACAAAAAAAAAUCUUUUCCCAUGCGAGUACUGGCUAGCUUUCUUCCUAUUACUGUGGUGUUAUAUUUUUUUUUAGUCGUUCCAACCUACCUACUUUUUAGCUGUUCGAACUAAUCCACAUUUUUUUUGAGGCAAAUCAUGUGGACCAUGUUUUAUAUACCAAGAACAACAUCUGGUAGCAUUUUGUCUUUGUAGACUUGAAAGGACUCAAAAUAGUGGAAGUACAUUCCAACUCGCUGACUAAGGUCUCGUUCUCGCACCAACUUUUAACGGCUAUUGUAAUUAUUAAUUUUUUUAUAAUAAAUAAAUUGGGGAAAGUGUUUCAUUUCCUCGGAUUUUACUUUUGAAAAAAAAAAAGGGUUUGCUGAUUAAGAUCCGAUAUUGAGCUAACUAAUAGUUCCCAAAGGGAUGUUGACAAUACUGGAGUAUAUUUAGGUGGGAGGGAGAGUUGGCUCUCAAAUAAAAAUAAAAAUGAGUAACUUUCACUCUAACUAUUUGAUUAGAGAGAGUCCCAUUUCUAUUUGUGGGAGGAAUAUUAAUGUCCAAAUCUUUUAAAAUUCAAUCUUAACUCUUUCCUAGUAUUCAAAUCUUAUUUCACCAAACUUAUUUAAAAAAUUAAAUUUUAAAUAUCUCCUAUCUAAUUGAUUUUUCAAAAAUUUAUUUAAAAAUAUUCUAAUUCUAAUUCUCAUUCCGAUUCAAGUCACAACCAAACAUAUUAGAGAAUAUGGCUAUUUAAAUUUCUAUUUCCAUUCAUUUUGAUUCCGAUUCUAACCACGAAUAAAAUGUACCUCUAAUUAUGUGGCUUGUGCCUAGUCUAGCCAAUACGAUCAACAAAAUCAGAACCUAUUUUGGACUGCAACUUUAUCAGCCACUUGCAAGUAGCUCAAGCAAGGUUGCCUAGGGCUCAUUCAAGCUCACUCAAUUAGAAAACACCUUCUUCUUUUUCUUUUUCUUUUCUUUCUUUCUUUCUUUCUUUUUCUUUUUUUUUUUUUUUUUUUUUUUAAGACUAAGUCUAACUUAGUAAAGUACUACUUCNNNNNNNNNNNNNNNNNNNNNNNNNNNNNNNNNNNNNNNNNNNNNNNNNNNNNNNNNNNNNNNNNNNNNNNNNNNNNNNNNNNNNNNNNNNNNNNNNNNNNNNNNNNNNNNNNNNNNNNNNNNNNNNNNNNNNNNNNNNNNNNNNNNNNNNNNNNNNNNNNNNNNNNNNNNNNNNNNNNNNNNNNNNNAAGACAAGCAACUAGAAAGACACUCAAUUAGAAAACACUCAAGCCGCAUUCCAGGCUCAUCCAAUAAAUGAUCCAAGCCGGACGAUGCUUGUAAAGAUAGAUACCACCUGAACUCAGUUAUGUGACAGAAAUAUGGAACAGCUUGUCUGUCUACUUGAGCUAUCUUUUUUUUUUUUGGUAAACUUUUUGGUAAACAGUUGGGCUAUCUUUUGACUGGCUUCCUUGUAGGGCAGGAUAAAAGUUAUGCAGGAUUCUAAAAUAAGACUUUAAUUUCCUCCCUUUCUUCUUCCUUCCAUUUGGUGAACAAAGAACAAUACCCCCCGUUCCACGGUAGCAGCUUUGUUGUUGCUACAGAAGUCGGUGUCGAGAAGGUCGGCAUUGACGGCGGAGGAGGAAAAACUGGCGAAAAUAGACCGACCCUGCAUUGAUAAACAGGUGAAAAAAUUCGCAAGGACCCGAAUGUGGCAAGGAUCUGACCAGGAUCUAUGAUUUAGGAACCAAAUCUAGUAUUGUUGUACUCUCGCAUGAUAGAUACUCAGCACCCAACCUGACACGACAUAAAAUACCAAGAUGUUUGGACAGGACCUAUUAAUUCAUACCGAUAUUGGCAUUAUCCCAAAUCGAAUACAGCCAGACAAACCUCGUGCAUGGAUGUCUAAAGUGUGGGUUCAAUCCAACACCAAUUGAGAUUGAUGGCAUGAAACAUAGCCCAACAGGUACUUUUUCUUAUGGACAUCACGUUGACCACUUGGGUCUCCUCCUACCAAGGAGCAUGGGAUAUGCUUGCGUCCUCAGCUGGGACUUGUAUUAAUGUAUUCUAUAUUCUAUAUCAGUCGAAUCUCCAUCAUGGCCAACUCUUUUGACCUGAUGCACAGCUUAAGAAAGACCAGGAACAUUGACCAAGUCUUAUCCAAUAGCGGUUGUCUUCAUUGGUGUAAGAUUCGUCUGAUGGGGGCUUCAGUUUAAAAAAUUUGGACCAUGGGCGCUACAAGUCCAGCAUUUUACUGUAGGAGCAUUGGAAGAAAUUUAAGGAAAUUGAAACCUUGAAAGAGACUUCUGGAGAAGAAGGGACAAAGGUAGGAUGGUUGGAGGUGACCAUAAGGAGCCCCCUGACUAUAAGGAGAUGACUGGCAAUCUUGCUUAAUGUGCCAGACCAAACUUGAUUGGAUGUGAUUAGUAUAUGACUCUAGGAUGGAUGUGACAUGGCUGGUUGUUUAUUGCCAACUUAGAAUGAGCAAAUAAUGAGGUUGGCUGGACUUAACCUUGGGUCACCCAGUAUGUGAUUUUAAUCAAUGAAAGAUAAUUACACAAUUUGUUUAUAUUAAUGAGUAGAUGCUUUGGUCUUUUACACUCAAAGAAAAUGGCUAUAACAUCAAUAGCAAAUUGAAUCGUAGUGAUUUAACUUAGGUUAUUCAAUUGUUGCAACUAAUUUCUUCCAAUGGAACAAAUAAACACCAUAAAAAUGUAGCAUUUAAGAAAAGACUAGCCAUGCAUUCAUAAGAACAUUUCAAAUGGAUUUAUUGAUCUACAGAUUAACUCCUACAUCUUCAUGCUUCCAUUUUUCACUUGCUAUUUCUUAACCAAUUCGGAAAGCACAUGAUUUUGGGAUGAAAUUAGAGCAAGGAGACCCUUGCUUCAAAGCCAUCAGUUCAACAAAUAAAAGGGCUGCCGCUAGUUAUGAGCUUUAUCAAUUGAUGCUAGAGUAAAAAACAGUUCGGAUAUCGAAAUAUGCAUAUCAAUACCCAUAUUCCUUCAAUAAAUAUGAAUAUAGAUAUUAAAUAGAUACCGAUACAAAUUUGAUAUUAAUUAUAUCCAUAAUUUUUUAUUUAGAAUAUGGAUAUAAAUCGAAUAUUAUUUGGAUAUAAAUUGGAUAUUGAAUUGAAUUCAACAAUAAAAACUAAAUAAAUAAUAUGAUCAUAAAGGAUGGUGUUGGUAUGUACAAAUCGAUCUUAUCACCAAGCCAUGUGACAAUAUUAAAGUUAUUUGAAUUGUACUUUCAAAUCAAGUCAGCUAUUUAUUGAUCUGCAUUAACCUUCAGCUCAAUUCUAUAUCGAUCUGAAUAGAUAAGAGUUAGUUCCUGAUAAAAUAUGAUCAGCUCGGUUAUUUGCCGAUCUACCAUAUGAGACAUCAUAUUAAAAUCGACAUGAUCAAUAUGACUCAAAAAUAUACAAAUGGUUAUCUUACAGCUGUUGGUCAACUCAACAGCAGCUGUCUUCCAGUCACACUACAACUAAUCUCCACAUGGAUGGACAAUCCACGAUCUUCAUACAGCUGGUUAUUCUGUUAUAACAUACUAAUAGUCUAACAAACUCUUUUAACGGUUUAACGGCUUAUGCAAGUUUUCUCUAUAUAAAGAGAGACAGGAUAUCUUCCAAAAGAUAAGUCAGAACUCACAGAGCUGAGAUUCUGUUGAAUUCCUUUCAGCUUUCCCAUUGAAGGGAACAAGAGUCAUCACUCUACUCUCCCAAAAUCUUCUUUCUUACCUUCUAGUCUUUCUAUUUCUACUGUUGAUUCUCGAGAUCCCGAUUGAUUUAAUCAUCAAAGGAUUCUAAUUCAAAGAGUACCCCAUCAGAUCUAGGACUUCUUUUGCAGAAUUUCCAGCAGACUUCAUCAAAUUUUACUUAAGAGCACUCCAGCUCGAUCCAAGACCGACCUCGUCAUCUAUUCUCCGGAGCCUUGCAACAUCAGAUGGGAAUAAAAACUACUAUUAAAGAUUGCAAAAGCAAUAUGGUAAUGAUUUUAAACAUAGUUAUUAAAUUUGCAUAAAGACUAUUUCAUUGAUCUAAUUCAAUUUGUAUUAAAAAAUAUAUCAAAAAUUUAAAAUUGAUUAACUAUUAAAAUUUUCUAUAUUAAAAAGCUUUAUGACUUAUUAAUUGCAGCAUACAUAAAAAAAGAUCAUGAAUUAUAUAUUUUUAAAGAAAUUUUAAGAAAAAUUAUAUAUAAAUAUAGGAUUAUAUUGAAGUUAUCAAUAAUUUUAAAUAUUUUAGAUAAAAUAAGAUUUUGCAAAUACUAUAAAAAAUCCAUUUUCAUCAAAAGAAAAAGAGUUGAAUUUUUUUUAUAAAACUAAUAAUUAAAAUAUAGAAUACAAUGAUAAAUUUGAAAUGAUCAUGAAUAAGUUUUGAAUAAAUAUAAUAAACUAUAUUAUGAUAAAAGUGAAUAUUACCAUUGUGGCUCAGUAAUAGGCAACCACCUAAAAGAUCAUAGAUUCAAUUCUUUAUCUAGAUAUGCAUGAAAGCCUUAACCUAAUAAGUCAUGAAAUUGACUAAGGUCCUUCCAGUUACCAUUUUAAUUGUAUGAGAAUUCUCUGGCUCAUGAAUAUGGAAGCAGUUCAAUUCCUGGCCAUAGGCAGCAAAAAAUAAGAUAAUACCUAACUCCCCAACUAUUCAAUGCAUACAUCCGGGUUGAUGGAGAAGCAUAAGGGUUAAUAAAAACGUUAAUUUUGAAUUUCUCCAACUUUGUAAUAAUAUAAAAUAUUUUUUUGACAUUCCAUGUUGUUAGCAAUAACGUUGCCCGCACUUUAUUUGAUAAGGCAGGGAGUUUAACUCUACAGUAGUUUUACUAUCUAUUAGCUUGUGUGGACAAUAUUAUAGAUAAAAAUAUAUAGGCAAUCAGCUUUAUUUUACCAAUUACGAGCAAAGGUUGUAGAUAAUUUGCAAACCCAUAAGACAAUCAUGGAUGUUCCACCUUAUAUAUUUAAAGGGUGGGGAAACAAAACCUCAAUCAAAAGCCUUUAAUGCAGGGCAUAAAAUCUCAAAACAAUCGUACCUUUGUCAUCAUUAUUAAUGGCUAUUCCAAAAUUAAUAAUCAUUAUUUAUCUAGAUUGGCUUGCCAUUACAAAACAAAUUGCUAUUAAAAUAAAAACAAACAUAAUUAAAUAAAUUUUUUAUUCGAUUAAACUAUUAAUCAAUGAAUAGAAGAGAAAUUUUUCGUGCACCGCAGGUCACGUAGAAAAUUCGAUAUGGAGCACUUCACUUUAUGUAAUUGGUCCAUGUAACCAUCACUUUUUCACGCACAUUUAAUGCCUGCAAUUUUAUUUUUGGAUCUAAAAUUUUUGAAUGAUAAGAGUGCCCUUACUUUUUGAAAAAAUUAUGAUAUUUCAUGUCCAUAUUAUGACAUCCUCCAUGUAUGAAGUCAUAAUUUUGACGCAAGAUGUCAUAAUAUGCCACAGGAUGUCAUAAUAUUUUUCAAAGAACAGAGACAUUUUCGUCAUUCAAAAUUUUCAAAUAAAAAAAUGAAACUACAUGCAUUAAAUACACAUUGAAAAGUGAUUGGAUAAAAAUACCCUUUAUAUAUUAUGACAUCUUAGACCAUAUUAUGAUAUCCUGCGUGCAGGAAGUAAUAAUUUGACGAGAAUGUCAUAAUAUACCACAGGAUGUCAUAAAUUUCUAAAUCAUAUUAUGACAUCCUGCAGGCAGAAAAUCAUAAUUUGACGUAGGAUAUUAUAAUAUGCUACAGAAUGUCAUAAUUUUUUUUCAAAAGGNNNNNNNNNNNNNNNNNNNNAUUAAAUAUAUAUUAAAAAAUAAUAAUUACGUGAAUCAAUCGUGUGUUUACAUCAAAUUUUCUAUGCCAUCGAUGAUGCCCAAAGAAUUUCUCAUGAAUAGAAGCAUAUUCGCCCAAAAUAUUGUAUUUAUUCCUGUUGCACAAUGAUGUCACAACAGAUGGUUGCCCGGAGGAAUAGCUGCAAAGCGAAAAUUUAGGGGCCCAAACUGCUUACACAAACUUUCCUAAUCCAAGGUGGUGCCCGAUAAAUAGCCCAACCCUUGGAAAUCACCGUGAAUACAACUAAUUGCCUCGUACCACAUCACUCUUGCCUUUUUUUGUAACCGAUUAACAUUGCAAGUGAACAUUGCUAAUUCCAGACAUGGAGCCAAAACUUCAUUCUACAUCGACGUGCGCGGUCGGAUGUUAAAGAUUCUUCUCGUCUUUUUGGUGGGUCCCACCAUGCUCUAUAACAUUUAAUCUAAUCUAAUCCAUACACCAUCUCGAUUCCCACAGCUAUCCGGUACAAACAUCGAUCAUGAGAAGGAAACGUAUACAAAGGUAAACCAACCCAUGAAACAACGUCGUUUGUACAUUUGAUCCAGCCUCUCUCACACUCUCCUAUUCCAGUGCCCAGGUAAAUUCCCCAUCACACAUUCCAUCGCCAAUGCCACGAAUGGCACCAAACACCAUAUGAGAACAGAAACGCGUCUGGAAACAAUGGUUGGGACGCGUACCGGUACUCUUUUUCCUUGAACCUAAGCUAUUUCCCCACGCGGUCCCAGAGGGGUAGAAAGAGGGGGAGGCUCUCAAAUCCCCAUUGAGAUCGGAUGACGUCAGCCCUAGUACACGUCCCGUCCCACGCGUCAUUCUCUCCUCUCUCUCGGUCCGUUCCCUGCUCUCGGUGCAAAGAGCAACGAUAAAUAUAUGUUGUUUUCUAAAGAUACACAAUUAUCAACAUCGAAUCUUCUAAAAUAUGUUUUACGUAAUGCACCCGCCGGAUCCACCGUCUUACGCAGGGGGGGAUGUACCUGUCCGACUUCUAAUCCCCGAGCCGAUCCCCGGGUUUUCCUUCCAAUUUCUCGCCACGAGAUCGAGAGAAAUUAAUUAUAUCCUUGAGAGAGAGAAAAAGCAAACGGAAAGCUUUUAUUGUAAGUCGUCAGUCACCUCCCAGCGACUUCCUUUGGUUGGGCGGAAUCCCGAGACCUCUUCCGGACAAUCCCAACCACACCGACAACAAAACCCAAACAUGACACCCAGCAUUUCAAGGUCUCAAGUCGUACAUGUGGGACCCACCGCAGUAGAUUUUUUUUCCUCUUUAUUUUAUGCUAUUGGUGGUGGCGCGGGGUUGACUCGUCCGGAAGUAGGGUGCCAUUGCUGGGGCCAUCGGUUUUUGGGUCCUCACGAGAAUUCCUUCGUCCCCCGAAACAUCCCGAAUCCUUCAGGCCUACGCCAACCUUUCGAUACGGCAGCGUGCUUUUCAACGUUGAUAAGCCAUCGUUGAUAAGUCCUGUUACAUAUCAGAAAUCAGCGGUCCAUAUCAAGGCGUCUACUUAAAAGCAGCCCCCACCAACCCUCACCUUCCCCCAUCUCACCCCCGCUCCCCUUUUUUCCUGCCUUCACCUCUCUUUUCGUCCUUUGUCUUUGUUUGUUAGCCUCCAAUCCAUCUCCACACCCGCCCCCCUCUUCCCCCAGGAAAUCCCCCUUCGGUCCGCUCCUUGACGGAGACUUUUCACCCCCAUCGAUUCGUGGAGAUCGAGGAAUCCGCCCCCGUCCCGAUCCGAUUCGCGGCCGCCGGAGGCGGUGGCGCGCACCCGAUCUACCCCACAUCGUUGCCGGAGGCUCCCCGACGACUUUGCAGCUUUGCCGUGAGCGGAGGCGCCGCUGGCCGCCAUGUCGUCCCUCAGCCGCGAGCUCGUCUUCCUCAUCCUCCAGUUCUUGGAUGAGGAGAAGUUCAAAGAGACCGUCCACAAGUAUGGAAUCCAAGAAUCCUCCUUCCCUUUUUCUUUAUCCUUCUUCUUUCGGUUUCAUUCUGUUUCUUGUUUUUCCUUUUCUCUUGAUCGGUUUCUUGUUCGGAUUGCGAAAGAUUGGAGCAGGAGUCGGGUGUUUUUUUCAAUACAAGGCACUUUGAGGAGGCGGUGCUCGCCGGGGACUGGGAUGAGGUGGAGAGGUACCUGUCGGGGUUUACAAAGUUGGAUGACAACCGGUACUCGAUGAAGAUCUUCUUUGAGAUCCGAAAGCAGAAGUAUCUUGAGGCCCUUGACAAGUAACCCUCUUUUCCAUCGUUAUUUAUGUUGUCAAUUUUCUGUUGCAAUGGAUUUCCCUUUUAUGUACUAUUUUUGUAUUUCUAGGCAUGAUAAGGGCAAGGCAGUAGAAAUCCUGGUUAAGGAUCUUAAGGUAUUCUCAACAUUCAAUGAAGACCUUUAUAAGGAAAUUACCCUACUCCUUACCUUGGAGAACUUCAGGUAUUGUGAUUGAAUCCAAGUAUCGGAUAUACCGAUCUCUAAGCUGUAGAAAACAUCUCAAAAUUUUGUCUUUUUGUUGAUAUUGACUGAGAAUUUAAGUGCUGGAGGUACCCAAUCUCGAUGCCAUGAGCUUUGUCAAAAUUUGUAUUUUGUUAAUUUAAGGGAGAACGAUCAGCUAUCAAAGUACGGAGAUACCAAGUCGGCCAGGGCGGUGAUGCUGGCAGAGCUCAAGAAGCUGAUUGAAGCGAAUCCCCUAUUCCGUGACAAGCUGCAGUUUCCUACGCUCAAGACAUCAAGACUUCGCACUCUCAUCAAUCAAAGGCAUGAUUUUUUGUCUGGGGAAGAAAGAAAGAAUCUUUAGUGUUAUGUGUUUUCCUUGUUUUUGGUAUCACCUGGGAUUUCUGAUGGUCUGUUUGGUGAUAUGGUGUUAUUUUGGCAGUUUAAACUGGCAACAUCAGCUCUGUAAGAACCCAAGGCCCAACCCUGAUAUUAAGACGCUUUUCUUUGACCAUUCUUGUUCCCAACCAAAUGGUGCUCGUGUGCCUUCUCCAGCCCCUCCACUCACGAAUGUCAUACCAAAACCAGGAGCAUUUCCCCAACUGGGCCCACCACAUGCGGUAAGUGAUAACAGCUGACUUAGCCAGUCAAAAACCAAAUGCGUGCAUUCUUGUUUCAAGUUGAACGCACUGACUUAGCCAUUCAAAAACUUGAUGUGUUUGUUCAUUUUCUUAUUCAGCCAUUUCAGCCAGCUGCAGCAGCUAUGCCAACAUCUCUCACAGGUUGGAUGGCUAAUGCUGCCCAAAUGCCCCACCCUGCAGUCUCUGGUGCCCCACUCGGUAGUCUAGCAACUCCUCCGAGUGCAGGUUGUUGUUUAAUCCCCUUUUUUUUGCUUUUUAAGAAGAUCUACUCCAGUAAUUCCUCUUUGUAGGCCUAUCAUAGUCAAAUGCUCAAAAUACCACACCUGUCUUUUGGCUUGCAGGCAUUGGAUUAACUCCUGUAAAUCAUAUUAAACCACUAUUCUCUCUGUGCUUUAAGAUGAUCAUAUCCCUUACUUCUGUCCUGGGUCAAUUGUUGCAUGCAUCCAUGAUGGUUACAACGAUAAAUAACUACAAUGUUUUCUAUCUGCCUCUUAAAUGCAAUUCUUAAUAUCAAUAUGAUGCCCAUUUGCACUUAUCAAGUUGUACUUACCAAGUUGACCACGUGUUGUUGAUCUGAUAGUUUUAGUUAGCAGUUUGGCGCUGUCAUUUGGUGUUGUUUUAUCCUCUAUCUUGUAUAUGUUUGUAGAUCAGUUUUUCUGAAGUUCCAUGCCCUUAUGUUAUUGGUUUGUUUUAUUUAAGUGAUGCAUGCAUGCACUGUUGUACCACUUAUGUUUUUGUCACAUUAUCUAGUAUAUGUAUUAAUUUUUUUUUAAAAUUCAUGUUGGUAGCUGCUCUCUUGAAGCGUCCUAUGACUCCCCCAAACAGCAAUCCUACCAUGGAUUAUCACACAGCAGAUUCAGAACAUGUGAUAAAGAGAUCACGCCCUAUGGGAGUUUCUGAGGAGGUCCCCCCCCACUUCUAAUUCUGUUUUUACUUUGAUUUCCAUUUCCAUGUAAUUUUUCUGUUUGUGAGAAUGCUGGCCUCUUGUGGUGUCUUUGCAAUUGUGAUCGAUAAACUUAUUCCUUCUUUUCUGGGUUUUAAAUUGGCAAAAUUUCUACAUACAUUGUUAGUUUUUGCACUUCUUCAGGACAAAAUGUUUCUAUUGCAUUUACCUUUGCAGGUUGGCCUGCCUACUGCUCAUUUGCCUGUUGCAUACUCUGGCAUUGGACGGAGCCAGCAUUCUUUUGAUGAGUUGCCCAGGACUGUUGCAGUGACUCUAAAUCAGGGUUCUGCUGUGAUGAGCAUGGAUUUCCAUCCUGUUCAAUUAACUACCCUUUUAGGUUAGAAAACUAGUGUCCAUAUUAUUUUUCCUUUAGUCACUAGGGAAGGUUUUCUUCAGGGCUUAGAUAGGUUCAGCCUUGAGUUGACUGUUAGCUUUUGUUUCCAGUUGGAACAACUACGGGUGACGUCUCACUGUGGGAUGUAGCUUCCAGAGAUAGGAUUUCUCAUAAAAGUUUCAAAGUUUGGGAUCUUCAAGCACGUUCAGCAUCCCUUCAGGUACUCUUACCAGUAGAUUGUGAGUGUACUCAUUAAAUCUCCAUCUUGGUUCUCACUUUUGUUUUUAAUUAUGAGCAGGCAACUCUGACCAAGGAUCCUACUGUAUCUGUUAACCGUGUGAUUUGGAAUUUUGAUGGUACUCAAUUUGGUAUGUUCAAAAAGAAAACUGGUCUUUCCCUAUAGAUUAUAGUUCGGUAAUAUAUAUUAUAUAAAGAGCAGCAUGGGUGAAGCAAGGACAAAGAUCUUUAUUAACUAUUUCAGGCAUUUAUGAAAUCUGGAUUGUCACCCUUUGCACUUGCAGGUGUUGCAUACUCCAAACAUCUUGUGCACUUGUUUACAUACAAUGGUCGUGGUGACAUAUCAAACCCCUUAGAGGUGAUUUUAUGAGCUAAUGUGUUUCUUUAUACACUACUAAGUUGUACUGUCUAAUUAUAUUGGUGAAUUUUUAAGCAUGUAUGCCAUUACAAUUUCUUACUAUGCCUCUGUGAGAAUUGCAGAAAGGAUUUCUUUCUAACACUUUCAUGACUUUUCAGAUUGAAGCACAUGUUGGUGCAGUUAAUGAUGUUGCCUUCUCUCAACCUAACAGACAAGUGUGCAUUGUGACCUGUGGAGAUGACAAGACUAUCAAGGUUACCCCAAUCAUGUUCACAAGUUAGCUAGUUUUGAUGCAUUUGUCAUUAAUUAUUAUCUAACUUCAGGUUUGGGAGGCUGGUACUGGUGUGCUUCAGUACACUUUCGAAGGUCAUGAAGCCCCUGUGUACUCCAUAUGCCCACAUUUUAAGGAAAAUAUUCAGGUAACAUGCUUUUCAGAAUUUAUAUACUUAUUUAAGCAACCUAAAAGCCUUGAGCUAAUAAUUCCGUAUUCACCUAAAUACUUGUGUUGAAACUCCUUUCAGGGCUUUUAUAAGUUCAUUGGAUUCUUACAUUUCUGCUUUUUCAGUUCAUCUUUUCAACUUCUGUUGAUGGGAAGAUUAAAGCAUGGCUGUACGAUAAUGCGGGCUCAAGAGUUGAUUAUACAGCACCUGGUCAAUGGUGCACUACUAUGGCUUAUAGUGCUGAUGGAACAAGGUCAAUAUGAUGAUCAUUUAUCCUUUUUCUCUGCUUGCUUGAUAUUUUUUAAGCAUAACAUGUCAGUUUCUAAUAGAAGUUCUAACAGUUUUUUUUUCCUCAUCUAAUGAUGCUUCAUGGACACAAUUAGGCUGUUUUCUUGUGGGACUGGCAAGGAUGGAACUUCCUAUAUCGUUGAAUGGAAUGAGUCUGAAGGGACCAUAAAACGGACGUAUGAUGGUUUACGCAAGCAACCUAUCGGCGUGGUACAAUUUGAUACAAUAAAAAAUCGGUUCUUAGCUGCUGGAGAUGAGCAUAUGGUUAAGUUUUGGGACAUGGACAAUACCAACCUCCUGAUAACCACUGAUGCGGAUGGUGGUUUACCGGUAACUAGUCCAAUAGCAAUCCUUACACUUUGUCCUUAAUCAUGUUGGUGAGAGGUUGUGAUUCACUGAAUGAAUACAACCUCAUAUGUCCAGGCAUUACCACGUGUCAGAUUUAACAAGGGUGGGGCUUUGCUGGCUGUCUCGACAAAUAAUAACUAUAUUAAAGUAUUAGCAAAUGCUGAUGGUCAGCUGCUGCUUUCCCUUGAAAAUCGUUCAUAUGUUGCUGCCCGAUCAGCUUCUGAGUCCAUUAUGAAGGUAGCUAGCUAUCAUAUUUAUGUUUUAAGUUUGCAUGGUCUGUCCUUAUCUAAUUGUGCAAUCCAUAUGUGAUAAUCAAUUAUAAUCAUCAGACUGUGGUGCAGGCACCGAUCAUUAGCCCAUUGGGAACUGUCAGUGCAAUGGCUGGACCUAGUGCUUCAGUUGCUGAUAGAGGUGCUCCAGUGGCAACCAUUGUUGCAUUGGUAAUAUAAAGUUUGUAGUUUGUAAUAUGUGCCUCAAGUGUUCAGCUAUUUGAUAACAGAUUGCCUUUUUCUUUAAAUAAAUUUGGUUUUUGACUUUUUGUCCAUAGAUUGCUUAGCCUUAGACAAUGAGGAUUAUUUUAAGCAUGUUAUGCUUGGGUCAGUGGUAACUUGCUAUAACAUGUUACUUCCAAAUUUACAACAGAAUGGAGAUAAUCGGAGUCUGGGAGAGGUGAAGCCCAGGAUGAUUGAUGAAUCAAUUGAGAAAUCUAAGAUUUGGAAGUUGACUGAAAUCAACGAACCAUCUCAGUGCCGUUCUCUGAAGCUUCCAGAUAGUCUGGUAGCAGCUAAGGUAAGAAUGUUAAACCAAUGCAAACACUAUACAAUUUGGGAAUGAAGCUAUCUCUAUUGAUUUGGCACUGCAUUAAGCAUAAUAUCACCCUUUAAUAGGAUAACUUUAGGAUGAUGUUGCUUUUCCAUUUUUCACAUGUUAAUCCUUCUGGCAUAGUGGUACUUAGUACCGUGGCAUGCUCAACAAAUCAAGUGUUAAUUUGAUCUCUCAAAGGGUAUCAGACAUAACCAGAACUGUUUUGGAAAUUGCUUAGUUUUAUCAUUACAUGAUGCAAGUGGAAAUUCACAUUUCUUGCUGUAUAAUAUUACAUAUAUAUAUGUAUGUAUAUAUAUUAUAUUAUAUAAAAUAUAUAAUAUAUAAUAUAUCUUACUCAAAUGCCUAGGCCCUUUUUUAUCAAAUGCUGGCCUGAAAAUUACAAUACCCAAAAUUCAAAUAUUUGAGCUUGGAUCCAUGCUCUUGAGCAUGCAUCCAGGCAUUGCAUCAUGAUUUCACAAAACAUCUCCCUAGAUUUAGUGAUUUUCGAGAGAUUUAGGCCCAAAUUUUGAGGAAAAAAAAUAAAGGGAGCAAGUUUCUUACCCUAGUGGAUGGUGUUUGAAGCUUAAAUAUGUGGAUUUAUGGUGGAAGAGCCUGAGAUCCCAAGCUUCUGACCUUCCCGUCCUUCUCCCUGCAUGUUUUGCCAACAGAACCAUUGAAUGGAGAGAAAAAAAGAGAAGACGAAGAGGUUCCAAGCAUGUUUCAGCCUUGAACUGGUUGGUUUGGGUGCGAAGCAACAGUCGUUCAGCCCAAAUCACUCGAGCCGCUAGUGGUUCAAGCUGUUGCUCCCAAUCCGCCCUUGAACCAGUCCAGUGCGAACUGAUCCACCUUGGAACAGUUUGAACGACACAGCUCAUCUACCGAACUGGGUGAUUUUUUAAUCUUGUUUUAACUCAACUCC